rnacentral:tRNA from 1 species
GCUGGAUAGAGCGUCCCCCUCCUAAGGGGAAGGUCGCCCGUUCGAAUCGGGCCGGGGUCA